rnacentral:rRNA from 1 species
GACGAACGCUGGCGGCGUGCUUAACACAUGCAAGUCGAACGGAAAGGCCCUGCUUUUGUGGGGUGCUCGAGUGGCGAACGGGUGAGUAACACGUGAGUAACCUGCCCUUGACUUUGGGAUAACUUCAGGAAACUGGGGCUAAUACCGGAUAGGAGCUCCUGCUGCAUGGUGGGGGUUGGAAAGUUUCGGCGGUUGGGGAUGGACUCGCGGCUUAUCAGCUUGUUGGUGGGGUAGUGGCUUACCAAGGCUUUGACGGGUAGCCGGCCUGGGAGGGUGGCCGGCCACAUUGGGACUGAGGUACGGCCCAGACUCCUACGGGAGGCAGCAGGGGGGAAUAUUGCACAAUGGGCGGGAGCCUGAUGCAGCAACGCCGCGUGCGGGAUGACGGCCUUCGGGUUGUAAACCGCUUUCGCCUGUGACGAAGCGUGAGUGACGGUAAUGGGUAAAGAAGCACCGGCUAACUACGUG